UACGUAGGGACCGAGCGUUGUCCGGAUUCAUUGGGCGUAAAGAGCUCGUAGGCGGCUGCUCAAGUCGAAUGUGAAAACUCGAGGCUCAACCUCGAGCCUGCAUUCGGUACUGGGCGGCUAGAGUCUGGUAGGGGGAUCUGGAAUUCCUGGUGUAGCGGUGAAAUGCGUAGAUAUCUGGAGGAACACCGAUGGCGAAGGCAGGUCUCUGGGCCACUACUGACGCUGAGAAGCGAAAGCAUGGGGAGCGAACAGG
rnacentral:rRNA from 1 species